rnacentral:lncRNA from 1 species
UACCAAACUGCGUCUAAUCCUCCUUAGAGAACCUCCAUGGAAAUCACCCAUACACACUUCCAGCAAAAUAUAUAGCACCACAAGCCACUGGCCUUAUCCCUGAACAAACACACAAACCACUGGCUUCCUCCACCGGAAACCCUCCAAGCACCAUCAAAAUUCACCCAAAACCCUGCACCUAACACCAUCACCACCAUUCAGCAAUCCCAAACAGCCUGCCUAGAACAACAGUGGUGCAGUCCAUGGAAGCAACCGAUUUUUGAGCCUUAGUUUGCUUUCCUUUUGAUGGUGGUUGAGAUUACCACCUUCAUCAAAGCUCUUGGAAACCUCACAACAGUCCCAAGAAGGUCACCAAGUCAAAAGCUCACAAAAGUAAGCUGAAUCAUCUCACUUCAUCACUCUAAAACAAUUAGAUUUUUGCUAAAUUCUUCUAGGCUCAACUACUCACAUUUUUUUAUUGUUUUGAGUAAUCCCACAAUAUGCAUUGACUUCGACAAUCAUAAGGUUUUCGAUUAAAUUCCUGAUUUUUCUUAUAAGAUAUUUCGCAAUUUAUUAGUGAUACUAACCCCUUUAUUGGUAUUGCAUUCUAAACAGCAAAAUUAAAAAAAUUUUAAAACAAUUAAUUUUCUUUAUAUUUUUAAAUAUUUUAAUAUACUAAUAUCAAAAUUAAUUAUUUUUAAAUUAAUUAUUUUAAUAUAUUUUAAAAUAAAAAAUACUUUAAAAAAUAAUCAUUAUUAUUCUCAUAAAAACACUUAAAUACUUUUUUAGUGUGGUUUCAUAUGCCCCCCGCCCCCUAUCUUAUAUUGGGUAACAUCUCUCCACACAUUUUUAAAGGUAGACAUUAAACAAAAUGGGCCAAAUAAUAAGAUGCUAAAUACUGAGUCUAUAUAUUGUAAUGUAGCUGUUAGUUCAACAUGGGCUAAAUAUUAUAAAUAUAUAACUUAUUUCAUUUGAUAAAAAAUAAAUAUAAAAUAAUAUAAAUUAAUGCAAGCUUUAAGUUUAAAUACUUUUUACUUGAGGAUAUAUAUUAGAAAAUUAUAUAAAAUAAUGAAAAGUAUGUUUUUCAUGACUAAUAUUAAUAUUCCAGUUUGAAAAUUGGUCGAACAUCAAGUUCUGACUAGCAGAUAAUGGAUCACAGCCAUGAAGUUUCACUUGAUAUCAACGAGAUAGCCAAUUCUUUGAGGGAGCAAUUGAAGAUCAGGAAGGCUUUCUCCCAGGAACGAUUGCGGAAGUUAAAUGAAAAGGCAUAUACACCUCGAGUAGUCUCAAUAGGCCCUCUUCACCAUGGUAAGGAAAACCUAAAAGCUAUGGAAGACCACAAAAUAAUGUACCUGCAGCAGUUUCUCGAACAGAAUUUAUCAGUAAGCGUGGAGGAUUUAAUUACCAUUAUCAAGGAUGUCAUAACUUAAUUUUUGAUCUUUUUAUUUUAAUUAUUUUUAUUUUUUAAAAAAUAUGAAAAACAAGUAAAAAUAAAAUAAUUAAAGAAUAAAUUAAAAUUUAAGUUAAGGACAACAUAAUUGAAAGUUUAAAAAAUUAAAUUCUUGACUAGUUUAAUUAAUUAAAAUUUAGAUUAUUUUAAUUAAUGAAAGUAAGAGUUUAAUUGAAGAAUUAAUGAGUUUGAGGAUUUAAUUAAACUUUGAUUUAAUUAAUUAAAUAAAUUCAGGGACUUAAUUGAAAUUAAUUCAAGGAUAAAAUUAAAAGAUUGUUGGGAUCAAAUUGUUAAAUUCCAGAGGCAGGGGUCAAAUUAAAAAUUCCCAUUUUUUACCGAAACGGCACCGUUGCUAACAGCCAUGCGUCUUCUCCAUCCCGCUUCAACAGGGGAGCUGAUAAUCUGCAACAAAUCCAAUCGUGGACCACGUCUCUCGCCCACGAUCUUGUCAGGGAAGAUAACAGUCCUGCAAAGGCAGGACUGGUUAGAGGCAAGCAGCUGGGUCUCUAUAAAAGGGGCAGGGGACUGAGGAACAACAAAAAAGAACGUAAGCAAGAUCCACCGGGGGGGGGGGGACAGGGGAAGGAGGGACAGAAACGAAAAGGAAGACCAAGGGAAGCGAACAAAAAAGAGGCAGGAACACCGAGAACAGAACACAUACAGAACGGAGAAAACGAAAAAAAAAGCAGGGGAGAACGAAUGGACAGGCAGAAGCAGAGAGGAGACGAACGAACAGGAGGAGGAAGGAGAGAAUAGACAAAGAUUAUACAAGGCGUGAACGAAAAGAAACAAACCAAAAAAAUAAAAAAGAGAAGAGAACAGCCAGCCACCACGCCAUCGCUAUCGUCUUCGUUCCUGUGCGUCCAGGUAAGCUUCUCGCUCCCUUUCAUUUUUAGUUACAUAAGUACAGUGAGAAAGUAUUUUUUAAUUACCUUCCCACGGUGCACAGCAUGCGUGAAUAAUUCACGCAUGCGUGCCUCAGCUAGCUGGGCCACUAAAAAUAUGUGCUGGGCUGGGCCCAAAAUAUAAAAAAUAAAAAAAAAAUAAAAAAACAGAAAAAUAGAAAAGGUAGAAACAAAUAAAAAAAAAAAUAU